rnacentral:rRNA from 2 species
UACGUAGGGUGCGAGCGUUAAUCGGAAUUACUGGGCGUAAAGCGUGCGCAGGCGGUUUGAUAAGACAGGCGUGAAAUCCCCGGGCUCAACCUGGGAACUGCGUUUGUGACUGUCUCACUAGAGUACGGCAGAGGGGGGUGGAAUUCCACGUGUAGCAGUGAAAUGCGUAGAGAUGUGGAGGAACACCAAUGGCGAAGGCAGCCCCCUGGGUCGAUACUGACGCUCAUGCACGAAAGCGUGGGUAGCAAACAGG